rfam:Citrus clementina cultivar Clemenules unplaced genomic scaffold scaffold_8, whole genome shotgun sequence.
AUACCAUGAUGAGGCAUCUCUUGAGUAACUCCUUGAAUCUUUUCCAUGCAUCAUACAAGCAUUCAUCUUCGAGUUGAUGGAAAGAUGUGAUCUCAUUCCUCAAUUU